rnacentral:rRNA from 1 species
GAUGAACGCUGGCGGCGUGCCUAAUACAUGCAAGUCGAGCGAACAGACGAGGAGCUUGCUCCUCUGACGUUAGCGGCGGACGGGUGAGUAACACGUGGAUAACCUACCUAUAAGACUGGGAUAACUUCGGGAAACCGGAGCUAAUACCGGAUAAUAUAUUGAACCGCAUGGUUCAAUAGUGAAAGACGGUUUUGCUGUCACUUAUAGAUGGAUCCGCGCCGCAUUAGCUAGUUGGUAAGGUAACGGCUUACCAAGGCGACGAUGCGUAGCCGACCUGAGAGGGUGAUCGGCCACACUGGAACUGAGACACGGUCCAGACUCCUACGGGAGGCAGCAGUAGGGAAUCUUCCGCAAUGGGCGAAAGCCUGACGGAGCACCGCCGCGUGAGUGAUGAAGGUCUUCGGAUCGUAAAACUCUGUUAUUAGGGAAGAACAAAUGUGUAAGUAACUAUGCACGUCUUGACGGUACCUAAUCAGAAAGCUACGGCUAACUACGUG